AUAAAAAAUGUGUGUCACAAGUUGAGCAAUCCGAAGGCAACGUGCAGCGAAGCGGCGCUUCUCGGACGCGUUUUGUAAAACGCCAUAGCUCAACCUUUGCUCGGGGGUUGGUUACUGACCGAGUGUUGUGCCUCGCUUUGAAAUGAAGUCGUUUUUAAACCGCUUGUACAAGAAGAUCAAGUGGUACUACUUCAUGUACGAUCUUCACACGUCCCUCUACAUGUUGGAGUCUUGGGAGAAGAGGGUGUUCAAUAUCGGGCUAGUAGCCGUGGUCGCCAUGUCGAGCUACACCACUUACGUCUUUUUGCCCCGCUACACGCAAAAUGUGCUCCGUUACUUCGGUGUGGUCGAGUAGGCGACCGAGGUACGAUUUGACGACGUCACCAUGAAGUAAACUGGGUAUCUGCGUCGACAUUCUCCUAGUCGCCAGGACGGCCAGAAAUUGCGAUGUAUCGCUUCGACUGUCUGACGAUGCUGCUUCUCCAAGAAGAUUUUUUUGUACAGCACACGCUCGAAAAAAAAUGAGAAAGAACCUUUGAGAUAGACAACGGUCCGUUGUGAUGGAAAGUUUUGGUCUAGCGUGCGCAGCGUUUUCGCCUUUAACGUGCUUGCCAAAGAGGAUAUAUAGCUUAUGAUGCAUUCGCUGGGGCGAAAAACGGGAAGCUUUGAGUACCCUAUUCCGAAACUGCCUAUAAUCCGGCAUCACAGCCACGCUUUAAUCUUCACCCUUGAUUACAAAGAAACAACUACACAAAUGCGCGGUAUUCUGUCGUGCUCCUAUGUUUAGUUUUUGUGCUUUUUUUUAUUUCAUUGUGGAUCAAAUGACCAAGGGCCCAUAACACUAUGCAUAUAUCUUGUAACUUUUCCACACUGUGGGACUAUUUGAUCAGGCUAGUGUGAAGUCUUGGUUUUAAUACCACUUUAUUUGGAUGUGCCAUGUAUUCACAGUCUUUAUUGAUGCGCUGGUAUGUCAACUACCGAUGCGCUGGUAUGUCAGCUGUGCUGAUUUUAGACUUAAAUCUAUUCAUUGUGAAAUCUAUUCAUUGGCGAACUCACUGCCACUGUGGCUGAUUUGCAUGAAUAUAAACUAUACCUUUCGUUGUUAGGACUGUUCAUUAAUGAAGAUACUGCGGGCUUUCUUGUGUUUACCUUGCAAGUGUCGGACUUACUGCAAUGAAUGUCUGUGUAUCUUUGUUGCACUUAUAGUUUUGCUGAGGAUUUUCUAAUGGGGACAUCUGAAAUUAAAAGUGAUUGAACCUCUCGAAUGGAUAAUAUGGUGAAUUAGCUUGUUGAUAUUAGUCAACCGUACUUUCAUAAUAGUUCAGGCUUGCCUUUUCAUAGAAGUGACAGAAUAAAAUCUGUUCUUUUGCUUUGGUAA